rnacentral:rRNA from 1 species
UCCGUAGGGUGAACCUGCGGAGGGAUCAUUACACAACAAAAUAUGAAGGCCUGGCUUUCGCGGCCGGCUGAAGUAUUUUUUUCACCCAUGUCUUUUGCGCACUUGUUGUUUCCUGGGCGGGUUCGCCCGCCACCAGGACCAAACCAUAAACCUUUUUUUCUUAUGCAGUUUCCAUCAGCGUCAGUAAAAACAAUGUAAUUAUUACAACUUUCAACAACGGAUCUCUUGGUUCUGGCAUCGAUGAAGAACGCAGCGAAAUGCGAUACGUAGUGUGAAUUGCAGAAUUCAGUGAAUCAUCGAAUCUUUGAACGCACAUUGCGCCCUUUGGUAUUCCAAAGGGCAUGCCUGUUCGAGCGUCAUUUGUACCUUCAAGCUUUGCUUGGUGUUGGGCGUUUUUUUGUCUCCCUCUUUCUGGGAGACUCGCCUUAAAACGAUUGGCAGCCGGCCUACUGGUUUCGGAGCGCAGCACAUUUUUUGCGCUUUGUAUCAGGAGAAAAGGACGGUACUCCAUCAAGACUCUACAUUUUUCACUUUUGACCUCGGAUCAGGUAGGGAUACCCGCUGAACUUAAGCAUAUCAAUAAGCCGGAGGAAA